rnacentral:rRNA from 1 species
AGUGAACGCUGGCGGUAGGCCUAACACAUGCAAGUCGAACGGCAGCACAGUAAGAGCUUGCUCUUACGGGUGGCGAGUGGCGGACGGGUGAGGAAUACAUCGGAAUCUACUUUUUCGUGGGGGAUAACGUAGGGAAACUUACGCUAAUACCGCAUACGACCUACGGGUGAAAGCAGGGGAUCUUCGGACCUUGCGCGAUUGAAUGAGCCGAUGCCGGAUUAGCUAGUUGGCGAGGUAAAGGCCCACCAAGGCGACGAUCCGUAGCUGGUCUGAGAGGAUGAUCAGCCACACUGGAACUGAGACACGGUCCAGACUCCUACGGGAGGCAGCAGUGGGGAAUAUUGGACAAUGGGCGCAAGCCUGAUCCAGCCAUACCGCGUGGGUGAAGAAGGCCUUCGGGUUGUAAAGCCCUUUUGUUGGGAAAGAAAAGCAGCAGGUUAAUACCCCGCUGUUCUGACGGUACCCAAAGAAUAAGCACCGGCUAACUUCGUG